rnacentral:rRNA from 1 species
AGAUGAGAAUGUGCCUUCGGGAACCGUGAGACAGGUGCUGCAUGGCUGUCGUCAGCUCGUGUUGUGAAAUGUUGGGUUAAGUCCCGCAACGAGCGCAACCCUUAUCCUUUGUUGCCAGCGGUCCGGCCGGGAACUCAAAGGAGACUGCCAGUGAUAAACUGGAGGAAGGUGGGGAUGACGUCAAGUCAUCAUGGCCCUUACGACCAGGGCUACACACGUGCUACAAUGGCGCAUACAAAGAGAAGCGACCUCGCGAGAGCAAGCGGACCUCAUAAAGUGCGUCGUAGUCCGGAUUGGAGUCUGCAACUCGACUCCAUGAAGUCGGAAUCGCUAGUAAUCGUGGAUCAGAAUGCCACGGUGAAUACGUUCCCGGGCCUUGUACACACCGCCCGUCACACCAUGGGAGUGGGUUGCAAAAGAAGUAGGUAGCUUAACCUUCGGGAGGGCGCUUACCACUUUGUGAUUCAUGACUGGGGUGAAGUCGUAACAAGGUAACCGUAGGGGAACCUGCGGUUGGAUCACCUCCUU